GCGCACCAGUCGAGAAAACUUCACACUGUGCGAAAGCACGAUGAGGGAAUCCCAAGUGCUUGCACGUAAGUGUAAGCUGUUUCUCUGUCUAAAACGCAGAGAGAGUAAGGGCUGGGUAAGACGGGUGCCAGCCGCCGCGGUAAUACCUGCAGCUCAAGUGGUGACCGUUAUUAUUGGGCCUAAAACGUCCGUAGCCGGUUUAAUAAAUGCCUGGGUAAAUUGUGUAGCUUAGCUAUACGAAUUCCGGGUAGACUGUUAAACUUGAGACCGGGAGAAGUUAGAGGUACUCCUGGGGUAGAGGUGAAAUUCUGUAAUCCUAGGGGGACCACCAGUGGCGAAGGCGUCUAACUAGAACGGGUCUGACGGUGAGGGACGAAGCCCUGGGGCGCAAACGGGAUUAGAUACCCCGUAGU
rnacentral:rRNA from 1 species